UACAGAGGGGGCAAGCGUUGUUCGGAAUUACUGGGCGUAAAGCGUGCGCAGGCGGUUUUGUAAGCCAGAUGUGAAAGCCCCGGGCUCAACCUGGGAAUUGCAUUUGAGACUGCGUAGCUAGGGUGCGGAAGAGGGAAGCGGAAUUUCCGGUGUAGCGGUGAAAUGCGUAGAUAUCGGAAGGAACACCAGUGGCGAAAGCGGCUUCCUGGUCCAGCACCGACGUUCAGGCACGAAAGCGUGGGGAGCAAACAGG
rnacentral:rRNA from 1 species